UACGUAGGGGGCAAGCGUUGUCCGGAAUCAUUGGGCGUAAAGAGCGUGUAGGCGGCCCGAUAAGUCCGCUGUGAAAGUCCAGGGCUCAACCCUGGAAUGCCGGUGGAUACUGUCGGGCUCGAAUCCGGAAGAGGUGAGUGGAAUUCCUGGUGUAGCGGUGGAAUGCGCAGAUAUCAGGAAGAACACCAACGGCGAAGGCAGCUCGCUGGGACGGUACUGACGCUGAGACGCGAAAGCGUGGGGAGCGAACAGG
rnacentral:rRNA from 1 species